CAACGCUUGGAAGCCCAGCAGCAGGUGGAAGCAGGGCUGGGAUAACCUAGGGCAGCAGAGCCAUGGGGCGACCGCUGCGGUCCCCGACCCUGGGGAGCACCGAGGGAGCAACGGCUUCCUGCUCGCUCAGACAAUUUCCUGGUUUUACAACCCAACGGAGAGCGCAUGAUAAAUUACAUAAAGUGGGGAAGUUUGAGACUGCCUGAAUUUUGCAAUCGCGCCAAGUUUGCCGUGGCUGGCACGACUGCAAAAUUAAGGUGGUCCCAAACCUGCUCUAAAGCAUCCCCGCGUGACAAUUGGGAUGCGCAGGAAGUAAUCAGAGCAUGCUUUGCCUGGGAAGGAAGCAGAGGCAGCGAAGCCCCGGCUCUCCAGGGAUUUUUGCUCCUACAGAAAUGGAGAAACGCGACGAUUUCUCUGGCAGAAGCUUCACACGGGCAUCCUGGGGACGCUCGGUUGGGCCAUUGCGUUGGUGGGGAGAAAAAGAGGAAUGGCACAUCUGCUAGGUGACCGACACGUGUCCCCGGUGCCCUGUAGGCUCAGUAGGAGCAAAUGACGGAGGCGUCCCCUGGACCUUUUGUGCCUCGCGGCUCCGAGGAGGAGGAGGAAACUCGCCUGCGAGCAGCAGGUCUCCGGCUGGAACCCCCCCUCCGGCCGGGGAACCUGUGCUGGGGACUUUUAAUUUUACGUGGCUCUGCUUAAGCCCGAAAACAUUAGCUUAACAUUAUCACGGGGUAAGUCAACAAAUAUGGAAAAAUCUACCAAGGUUACAUUUUGCCCACUUUUCUUGCACCUUUGGAGAUGAAACUGGAGCCAGGCUGCUAAGUUACAGUGAUUUAUUGGUGGGCUGAGGAGCUGGGUUUUAAAUACUGCAUCUUUGGGAUGCUGGCAACCUCGCUUCCUAUAAAUCUUAACUAGUAUUUCUGAGCCCUUUUAUGCCAGCUGCUUUCAUGUAUUCAGAACCUUUUCCGUGCAGUAGCCUAUGAAAAUAUUGAAACGAUGCCCAGAGCAACACCAGGAUAUGAAGGGGAAAACUUUAAGAUGUUUUGUAACUAUUUUUUAACAGAACCUGCCAAAUCUUAAUUUUUCCAGUUUACAAGUAAGAG
rnacentral:lncRNA from 1 species